GCACCGAUGAUCUAAUGGCUAUGAUUCGAGCCUUCCAAGCUCGCUAUCCGGGUUCGAAUCCCGGUCGGUGCA
rnacentral:tRNA from 1 species